UACCAGGAGCUUCAGCCAGCCUCAAGCAGUCAUCUGUAAUGCAGCUAAACCAAGCCUGACCUUGGAAGAUCAAAAAAGAAGAGGCUGCAUGUCAAGAGAAGAGAGAAGAGGUGGCGUGUGUAACGGCGAGUUCCUGUCCUUCACCUCUUGGGGAGUUUACUUACUGGAUGCACUUCCUGGCCUUGUGUUUGACGCAGCAAAAGAAGAUGUGGCACUGCGGACGAGCAUACUGAGGAAGCUGCUUCUGCAGGUGGAUGUAGCUGACUCAAGGGGAAAGCUGAGCAACCUUGGAUACUGAGCUCUAAUUGGUGAGUCUAGAGGUUACUACUGUUUACAAAGCUAAUGUUUAUAACUUGUUUGUUCUUGUAUUUGUAAAAUUGCAUUUGUGUAUUUUGUAAUACUGUAUUUGU